rnacentral:rRNA from 1 species
CGGACGGGUGAGUAACGCGUGGGCAACCUGCCCUGCACUGGGGAUAACACUUAGAAAUAGGUGCUAAUACCGCAUAAUAAAAUAUAUUGCAUGAUAUAUUUUUGAAAGCUGCGGCGGUGCAGGAUGGGCCCGCGUCUGAUUAGCCAGUUGGCGGGGUAACGGCCCACCAAAGCGACGAUCAGUAGCCGGCCUGAGAGGGUGGACGGCCACAUUGGGACUGAGACACGGCCCAAACUCCUACGGAAGGCAGCAG